rnacentral:sRNA from 1 species
CUCCAAGUGCUCGAUGGCUUUGACCUUUGACUCUUUGUCCAUCCCUACAAGCGCCGCUAAGA